GACGAACGCUGGCGGCGUGCCUAAUACAUGCAAGUUGAGCGCUGAAGGUUGGUACUUGUACCAACUGGAUGAGCAGCGAACGGGUGAGUAACGCGUGGGGAAUCUGCCUUUGAGCGGGGGACAACAUUUGGAAACGAAUGCUAAUACCGCAUAAAAACUUUAAACACAAGUUUUAAGUUUGAAAGAUGCAAUUGCAUCACUCAAAGAUGAUCCCGCGUUGUAUUAGCUAGUUGGUGAGGUAAAGGCUCACCAAGGCGAUGAUACAUAGCCGACCUGAGAGGGUGAUCGGCCGCAUUGGGACGGAGACACGGCCCAAACGCCUACGGGAGGCAGCAGUAGGGAAUCUUCGGCGAUGGACGAAAGUCUGACCGAGCAACGCCGCGUGAGUGAAGAAGGGUUUCGGAUCGUAAAACUCUGUUGGUAGAGAGGAACGUUGGUGAGAGUGGAAAGCUCAUCAAGUGACGGUAACUACCCAGAAAGGGACGGCUAACUACGUG
rnacentral:rRNA from 1 species